rnacentral:rRNA from 1 species
GAGUGAAGAGGGAAGAGCUCAUCAUUGGAAUCUGGCGGUGUUGCACCGUCCGAGUUGUAGAUGAGGAGUGGUUCAUCUGGACUGCAUGGCGUCCAAGUACAAUAGGCCGUCAGUGGGACAUCAUAGAGGGUGACAAUCCCGUCCUUGAUGCCAAUGUGCAAGUCCAUUACGAUGACCAUCUCAGAGAGUCGAGCAGUUUGGGAUUUGCUGCUUAAACAUGGGAGGUAGAUUCCUUCUAAAGCUAAAUACAGGCAAGAGACCGAUAGAGAACAAGUACCGCAAGGGAAAGAUGAAAUAGCACUCUGUGAAGGGAGUCAAAAGGCGUGAAAUUGUUGCGAGAGAAGCGAUUCAAGUCAGCGUAGCUAGGCCCAUUAAGCCUCUUUGCGCUUUGGACUAGCUUUGCCAGCGGUCUUGUCCUUAGAGACUUGACUUGUAUGUCCAGCCUGGUAUGCACAGGUAGCCCUCCGGGGUCAGUGACAUGGCUGGUGGAAUGGCUUGCAAUCGACCCGUCUUGAAACACGGACCAAGGAGUCUAACAUGUAUGCGAGUAUAAGGGUGGCAAACCCGUAUGCGCAAUGAAAGUGAUUUUCGGGAUUGAGAAUGGCCUGAUGACCAGACAAGCAAUAUAUGUCCCUCGUACGGCCAUUGCCCAAGUUCCGUGGUAGAUCCCACGAACAUGGAGUUGGAGCAUACAUGCUAGGACCCGAAAGAUGGUGAACUAUGCCUGGACAAAGCGAAGCCAAAGGAAACUCUGGUGGAGGCUUGUAGCGAUUCUGACGUGCAAAUCGAUCGUCUGAUCUG